GCAACCCUUAUCCCUAGUUGCCAUCAGGUAAAGCUGGGAACUCUGGGGAGACUGCCGGUGAUAAACCGGAGGAAGGCGGGGAUGACGUCAAGUCCUCAUGGCCCUUACAUCCCGGGCUACACACGUGCUACAAUGGCCUGUACAAAGGGCAGCAAAGGGCGACCCGGAGCAAAUCCCAAAAAACAGGUCUACAGUUCGGAUUGCAGGCUGCAACUCGCCUGCAUGAAGGCGGAAUCGCUAGUAAUCGCAGGUCAGCAUACUGCGGUGAAUACGUUCCCGGGCCUU
rnacentral:rRNA from 1 species